CUGGUCUGUUUGAUUUAUCUACUGCCUCAGUAACAAUACAUAAAAUAAUAAUACAAUUGCAUUAAUCACAAAUAUCAAGGAUUGAUGCUACUGGCUCCAUGGUCAAUAUCCAAAGGCUUUCCAGAAGAAUCAGAUUUUUAUAAGCUAUUUGAAGACUAUGAGAGCAGAGUCCAUCCUCACCUCAGGGGACAGACAAGAUAGCGCAGAGAAUAACCACCACAGAGCCCUCUCUUGAGGAGUGAGAAUGAUGGGAGCAGGAGAGUUUCUUUGCGUAACUGUUUUCAGCGAUCAAACCGGUCAGUCCUAGAGGAGAUCAACCCUGAUUUCUUUUUAGAAGGCCAAAUCCUGAAGAUGAAACUCAAAUACUUAAUGAGAAGGAAUGACUCACUGGAGAAGAAGAGCCUAAUGCUGGGAAAGAUUGAGGGCAAAAGAAGAAGGAGACGGCAGAGAAUGGCUGGAUGGAGUCACUGAAGCAGUAGGCGUGAGCUUAAAUGAACUCCAGAGGAUGGUAGAGGACAGGAAGGCCUGGAGGAACAUUGUCCAUGGGGUCACGAUGGGUCGGAAACGACUUCACAACUAACAACAACUGUCCAAUUCCCAAUCACUCUAAAUAGUUCACAAAUAUAAAAUUAAAAAUAUUUUGUUUAUGAAA